UGGGGAAUUUUGGACAAUGGGGGAAACCCUGAUCCAGCCAUCCCGCGUGUGCGAUGAAGGCCUUCGGGUUGUAAAGCACUUUUGGCAGGAAAGAAACGUCAUGGGUUAAUACCCCGUGAAACUGACGGUACCUGCAGAAUAAGCACCGGCUAACUACGUGCCAGCAGCCGCGGUAAUACGUAGGGUGCAAGCGUUAAUCGGAAUUACUGAGCGUAAAGCGUGCGCAGGCGGUUCGGAAAGAAAGAUGUGAAAUCCCAGAGCUUAACUUUGGAACUGCAUUUUUAACUACCGGGCUAGAGUGUGUCAGAGGGAGGUGGAAUUCCGCGUGUAGCAGUGAAAUGCGUAGAUAUGCGGAGGAACACCGAUGGCGAAGGCGGCCUCCUGGGAUAACACUGACGCUCAUGCACGAAAGCGUGGGGAGCAAACA
rnacentral:rRNA from 1 species